rnacentral:ncRNA from 1 species
CCAGUUCACAAUAAUUCAAAGAAUAAAAAGUAUUGGUGUGUACACUGUCAAUCAGUAAUGCAGGUGUUCUAAGGCAAGCUCAGGGAAGACAGAACCCUCCCUACUUCCCUCCCAUGGGCCAGAAGGGAGAAAGUUCACUUGAUACUGAUUUUUGUAUGAAUACAGACCUUGAAAGCAGGGCCUCAUGAUCCUUCUGGUUUUUGGGUUUCAAGCAGAAGAUGUCAGAAAAGUGACUACAGGAAUAAUUGGCUUGUGGUGGCCAAGCAUUCAUAGCAACGUCACUUUGUGAAAAAAUGAG